AAGUCGUAACAAGGUUUCCGUAGGUGAACCUGCGGAAGGAUCAUUAACACGUAUCCACGUACCAACCAAUCGUGAACUAGUUUUCGCAUCUCCCUUCUACUGGAGUUGGAUAGGUUCGACAGUUUGAGUGGGACUCUUCGGAGUCACGGUCGACCUUACUUGUGCCCGCUUCGGCGAGCGCUAACAAUUUCAGUAGCUAGGCAAAUUUCCUUAAUUGAAGCUCCAUUCAAGCUUCGAUUUUGGAAUCACACUAACCAAUUUCACCCCAUUUUUGCUAGUUGACUUUUUUAAUGUGGCGCUCUUCGAGCUCACACGUUUAAUUACUUGAACGUUAAAAAUACAACUCUUAGCAAUGGAUCUCUUGGCUCUC
rnacentral:misc_RNA from 1 species